CCUAAGUUGUAAGAAAUUGAAAUUAUAUUACUAAUUUUAAUAAAAAUCAAAACCAAACACCCAUUAAGGAUGUCUGGUCGUACAGGAAAGGGCAGGGGCGACUCCCCACUCUUCAAAACCCUAGAACUUCACUAAUCUUGCAAAUUGAAGGUCCAAUUCAGUCCAAAAUCGAAAUUUAAGCAUGGAUUAUUGAUCCUGAUCACAAGAGGAUUAAAAGUUUGAUCUCGUCAAGCUAAGUGGGAGCUGGAAAGGAAUGGAUCAAACGGAUCAUGGAUGCGAAGAAUGUUUGCGCGGACGCGAGGGUAAAACGGCUUAUGGAAUUUACGUGGCUAUGAAUCAGCAAAUUAUUAAGGCAAGGUAUUAAAACGGGUCAAUACUUUGACCCGCGCCAGGUUCAUUUUGGAUGCCGAUAGACGAUCAAGCUCAUCGAAGAACAGAACAUGAUAUAGUUACAUGCUUCCGCACUUUGCCACGUUGUAUAUUUUAAACAACGAAUUCGAUCACGUUUUGUAGAAUAACUUAUGAAUUGUAAAAGUUUUAAUUUACUCGAAAUUUUC